AUACGGAGGGUGCGAGCGUUAAUCGGAAUUACUGGGCGUAAAGCGCGCGUAGGCGGUUUGUUAAGUCGGAUGUGAAAUCCCCGGGCUCAACCUGGGGCCUGCAUCCGAUACUGGCAGGCUAGAGUCUGGUAGAGGGGGGUAGAAUUCCUGGUGUAGCGGUGAAAUGCGUAGAUAUCAGGAGGAAUACCAGUGGCGAAGGCGGCCCCCUGGACUGAGACUGACGCUGAGGUGCGAAAGCGUGGGGAGCAAACAGGAUUAGAUACCCCAGUAGUCC
rnacentral:rRNA from 1 species